rnacentral:snRNA from 1 species
AUAGCUUUUUAAUUUGUUCUUAUCAAUUUAAUAUUUGAUAUGUCCUCAAUGUGAAGACUUUAUAAUAAAUGUUGUUGGGGGACUGGGAUGUGGACUCAAAGCUUGCUCCAUCCACUCUACACAUCAAUCUGGCAUUGCAAUGUCUCCAGGAGCAGUGCACCUCUC